CUUUCGGAGCUGUGCGGCAUUCUGAGCAGGAAUGGCAGUGUGGACCUCUGUGAUGGGACAUCUUGUGGGAUCUCACAGCCAGGACUCGUCAGGAAGCUGGAUAACAGAGCGAGCGCAAUGUGCUAGAAUAGAAGACCAGAAAAUGAAAUGGUGGAGUUUGAGGCUGGAUAGACAGUUUGAAAGGUACAAAUAAUGGUUUGAAUAAAGAAAGGUAUUAAUGGGUCACCUCAAGUGAAGGCACUGCAAACACAAUGAUUGGUCAUUCUGAAUUUCCGGUCCUUCAUUCUGAAUUUCAAAGGCUCCUGUGACAAGUGGACAUGCAGUGACUGCACCUUUGUUUCUGAGGUGCCUGGAUGGAGGCUCAAAUAGAAGAUGGUGUCAGAUAUAUUGUGUUAAAAUUUUACCAUUAAAGUGUAUUAUAACAUGAA
rnacentral:lncRNA from 1 species